AGGCCCGCCCGUCAUACUGAAUUUGAUGCUACAGCUGCUAUACCGUCGCCCGUGUCAGCUGAACGAGCGAUUGACGACUUUAGACGCCAUAUCUACCACUUUACCGACUCCUUCACAGCCAGGUUCUAAGCGGCGAGGCGUGCUCGAAGCUUUGCGUCGCGGCUAUUCAAGUUAUGACCUCGACUUCUGGAAGCGUGGUUACCGGGCCCGCAUGACCCAUUGGUGCUCCGGGAAUGCAUAUGCUACGUCCGGCGGCCAUUUCAUCCCUUCUCACACAUGAGCUGUCACGCUUGAAGCAAACGCUUCCGUUGCUGUCUUAAGUCACGCCUGUAGUCAAGUUUUCUUUUGUUUGUGUGCGCCUGGAUAAUCAACUGACCGUGCCAAUCAACCGGAGGACAACGAAGCAACUGCCGUCGCCACGUGCAUCACCAGCUAACCCACAAGGUGAAUCCCGUGCAACCAAGUGACCGUGGCACUUCUCCGAGGUACAAUGGAGCAACCGUCAUCGCUACGUUCAAUCUUCGGCAGUUAUAUUCACCAGGUGCGAUUCUAGCUUGCGAGGGUGGCGCGGCUAUUAAAUCAACUAAUUGGCAAUGUUAACUGUUUUAGACUGAUUGGCAAGAGAAGGCCGCUGCCACAUUGGGUCGUCGUCGUGACGGAAGCGGAGAGGACUGGGUGGGGCGAUUGUAGCUGUAGGCUUAGCUAACACUAGGAAGGGUAGCUCGCACUGCGCAGGCUCCAGCUGGCAGGGGUCCUCUCUCGUUUGCGACACGGACGUCGGCCCAUUCCGAGUGCUAUUGCUUCCCGGUCAUAAUUUCGCGUGUCGGCACGCGCGAAAUGUGGAAGUAAAUUGCAGCCGGAAUUAAUUAGUGUCAGGUUUCUUCCAGUGAAACAGAAGAAGAACGGACGUUGCCUACGGUCUGCAGCGCGGUGCGCUGCGGCGAAGACGGUGGUGGGUGGUCACUUUUUUUUUUUCUUCCGUAUGUUCUCGUCCCUAUUGCUGCGCGUCACGCCGUGCUUUUGUCGCUCGACAAGCCAACCAUCGUGGACUAGUCCCAUCGCCCACUCCAGCGCGAUGACGCUUGUCUUGAUGACGUUUAGCACCUGUCUGUCAUCCAGCAGCUGAUCGUGUCUACACUUCUGUUCCUGCCUCACUGCUAUUGUGUCCUGGUGAAUGAGGAUGCCUGCAAUCCCCGCCCUGCAGAACGUCCACUGCACUCCGCAUCCUUUGGUGCCAGGCACACGCGACGGAUUUUCCUGCACCCGGUCGUGUCUCGCAAAGAUGACGUUCAGCACCUGUCUGUCGUCCAGCAGCUGAUCGUGUCUUCACUUCGGUUCCUGCCUCCCUGCUAUUGGUGUCCUGCUGAAUGAAGACGCCUGCAAUCUCCGUGCUGCAGUACGUCGACUGCACGUAAUCUGCAACCCUUGUCUUGACAUCUACCCCCCAUCAAGGUCUGUACCACCAGCGUAGUAAGCAAUCACACCAAGUGCAGACCGUAGGGAGGCGGGCGUUGCUCUCGCCACUCAUCACAUUGCUGCUCCCGAAGACGUCGUGCUGCAGGAAAUGUUCUUCACUGCCUCGACGAGGCCACACAACUAUGAAGUCCCAAGAAACAGCACGACGUCGCGUGACAUGAAUGCUCAUCUAGCAUCCCGGUUGGAGUUGUUCGUUCCACCCUAUAGCAGUGCGAUGGCCACUCGAUGAAGUCGCACGUUAUUCAGUGGCUGUGACCGUAUGAUGUGGUUACCGAGAAAUCUCAGGUGACGUUGCUGUUCUAACUCGUCGUAGUGGUACACUGCUCAGACUCUAACAUUGGCUUGAUCUGGGGAUUCUUGCUUCUUACGUUCAUUGACAUUCUGUGCUUUUGUAAUGGUACAUUGAUGCAGAAUUGCGUUUGUAUGAGUGUGUGCGCGCGCACGUAUGUGUGUGUGUGUGUGUGUGUGUGCGCGCGCACGUGCGUGAGUGUGUGUGUGUGUGUGUGCGCGCACGUG